UACGUAGGUGACAAGCGUUGUCCGGAUUUACUGGGCGUAAAGAGCGCGCAGGCGGUCGAUCAAGUCGAGUGUGAAAGCCCCCCGGCUCAACUGGGGGAGGGUCAUUCGAUACUGAUCGACUCGAAGGCAGGAGAGGGUAGUGGAAUUCCCGGUGUAGUGGUGAAAUGCGUAGAUAUCGGGAGGAACACCAGUGGCGAAGGCGACUACCUGGCCUGUUCUUGACGCUGAGGCGCGAAAGCUAGGGGAGCAAACGGGG
rnacentral:rRNA from 1 species